rnacentral:rRNA from 1 species
AGAGUUUGAUCAUGGCUCAGGACGAACGCUGGCGGCGUGCUUAACACAUGCAAGUGGAGCGACGAACCAGGCUUCGGCCUGGGGCAGAGCCGCGAACGGGUGUGUAACACGUGGGUAACGUGCCCCGAUGAUCGGGACAACCCGGGGAAACCCGGGCUAAUACCGAAUGUGCUGUCCCCACACCAGUGGGGAUUGGAAAGGAAGCUUCGGCCUCCGCAUCGGGAUCGGCCCGCGGCCCAUUAGCUUGUUGGUGAGGUAACGGCUCACCAAGGCUGCGAUGGGUAGCUGGUCUGAGAGGACGAUCAGCCACACUGGGACUGAGACACGGCCCAGACUCCUACGGGAGGCAGCAGCGGGGAAUAUUGGACAAUGGGCGCAAGCCUGAUCCAGCCAUGCCGCGUGAGUGAUGAAGGCCUUAGGGUUGUAAAGCUCUUUCACCCACGACGAUAAUGACGGUAGUGGGAGAAGAAGCCCCGGCUAACUUCGUGCCAGCAGCGGCGGUAAUAC